rnacentral:rRNA from 1 species
GGGUGAGUAACACGUAUCCAACCUGCCGUCUACUCUUGGACAGCCUUCUGAAAGGAAGAUUAAUACAAGAUGGCAUCAUGAGUCCGCAUGUUCACAUGAUUAAAGGUAUUCCGGUAGACGAUGGGGAUGCGUUCCAUUAGAUAGUAGGCGGGGUAACGGCCCACCUAGUCUUCGAUGGAUAGGGGUUCUGAGAGGAAGGUCCCCCACAUUGGAGCUGAGACACGGUCCAAACUCCUACGGGAGGCAGCAGUGAGGAAUAUUGGUCAAUGGGCGAGAGCCUGAACCAGCCAAGUAGCGUGAAGGAUGACUGCCCUAUGGGUUGUAAACUUCUUUUAUAAAGGAAUAAAGUCGGGUAUGCAUACCCGUUUGCAUGUACUUUAUGAGUAAGGAUCGGCUAACUCCGUGCCAGCAGCCGCGGUAAUACGGAGGAUCCGAGCGUUAUCCGGAUUUAUUGGGUUUAAAGGGAGCGUAGAUGGAUGUUUAAGUCAGUUGUGAAAGUUUGCGGCUCAACCGUAAAAUUGCAGUUGAUACUGGAUAUCUUGAGUGCAGUUGAGGCAGGCGGAGUUCGUGGUGUAGCGGUGAAAUGCUUAGAUAUCACGAAGAACUCCGAU